rnacentral:rRNA from 1 species
AUCGAAAAAAUAUAAUGCUUUAGGCGAAUACCUAAGGACUCAAAGGUGAAGAAGGGCGUGUUAACCUGCGAAAAUUUCUGGGGAGUUGGAAAAACGCUUUAAUCCAGAAGUUCCCGAAUGGAGCAAUCCUUUAAAACUACUAAAAUAAUUCAUAAAUUAGUAAGAAAUAACUUAGUGAAUUGAAACAUCUUAUUAACUAAAGGAAAAAAAAGCAAACGCGAUUUCCCUAGUAGUGGCGAGCGAACAGGAAAUAGUCUAAACCGAGAAAUUGGGGUUGUGGGACUUUGAUAAAAUUAUGAUGAAUUAAACAAAAAACAGCUGAAACCUGUACCAAAGAUGGUGAAAGUCCAGUUUUGUUUAAAACAUGAUAAUUGAAGAUCCCGAGUAGCUUGGGACACGUGAAAUCCCUUGUGAAUCAACGAGGACCACCUCGUAAGACUAAAUACUCUUGAGUCACUAAUAGUGAACAAGUACCGCGAGGGAACGGUGAAAUAGACCCCCUAUUAGGGAAGUGAAAUAGAUCAUGAAACCUUAAGCAAUCAAUCUGUGGGAGGAAAGCUAACCACAUGCCUGUUGAAGAAUGAGCCGGCGACUCAUGAUUUUUGGCACGGUUAAAGAAAAAUUUCUGAAGCCUUAGUGAAAACAAGUCUGAAUGAGGGCGUUUAUGUCAAAAAUUAUGGACCCGAACCCGAGUGAUCUAACCAUGACCAGGAAGAAUCUUAGGUAAAGCUAAGUGGACGUCCGAACCGACCGAUGUUGCAAAAUCGGCGGAUGAGUUGUGGUUAGCGGUGAAAUGCUAAUCGAACUCGGAGCUAGCUGGUUCUACCCGAAAUGCGUUUUGGCGCAGCAUUUGAAGAUGAUCUGAUAACAGGUAGAGCACUGUUUCGGUGCGGGCCAGUCAAAUGGUACCAAAUUGUGGCAAACUCCAAAUUGUUGUCAUGACUACCUUCAAAAAGUGAGACCUUGGGGGAUAAGCUCCAAGGUCGAGAGGGAAACAGCCCAGACCAUCAGUUAAGGCCCCUAAAUAAUUACUAAGUGUUAAAGGAAGUAUCAACGCUGAAACAACCAGAAGGUUCGCUUAGAAGCAGCUAUCCUUGAAAGAAUGCGUAAUAGCUCACUGGUUAACGCGUAGAUGCACCGAAAAUGACCGGGACUAAGUAAUUUGCCGAAGCUAUGGGCAAUCGAUUAUUGUUGAUUGCAGUAGGGUAGCGUUCUGUUUGAGGUGAACUUUUUUUGAAAUAAAAUUAGGGAUUCAACAGAAGUGAGAAUGUCGGCUUGAGUAACGAUAACAUUGGUGAGAAUCCAAUGCCCCGAAAACCUAAGGUUUCCUCUUCAAGGUUCGUCCCAAGAGGGUUAGUCAGGGCCUAAGAUUAGGCUGAAAAGCGUCAUCGAUGGAUAAUAGGUGAAUAUUCCUAUACUCAUUUGAAUUUAGUGACAAGGGACGAAGAAAGCAAGUUCAAGCUCUUUAAAUGGUUCAGAGUGGAAAUACUCGACAUAUUGUUGAGACAUAAAAAUUUCAACUUGGAUUGAUUUUUCUUUCCAAUAUGAAGAUAUGACACGUUAUUUGAUCUUUCUUUAUUUCAAAUAGUUUGAAUCUUGUUCUGCUUCCAAGAAAAGCUUGAAACACUUUAUUAGUUCAAAUGACCUGUACCGUUAACCGACACUGGUGGGUAAGUUGAGUAAACUUAGGGGCGCGAGAUAACUCUUUCUAAGGAACUCGGCAAAAUGGCCCCGUAACUUCGGGAGAAGGGGUGCCUUCUUAUAAGGCCGCAGCGAACAAAUUCAUUGAACUUUUUAUCAAAAAAUUAGGUCUCCGCGAAGUCGUAAGACAAUGUAGGGGGGCUGACGCCUGCCCAGUGCCGGAAGGUUAAAAAAAUUAGUGAAAGCUGAUAAUUGAAGCCCCGGUGAACGGCGGCCGUAACUCUAGCGAAAUUCCUUGUCAAGUAAGUUUUGACCCGCACGAAAGGCGUAAUCAAAUGAAUACUGUCUCAGAAAGAGACUCGGUGAAAUAGACAUGUCCGUGAAGAUGCGGACUUAUUACAUCAAGACACGAAGACCCCGUGAAGCUUGACUGUAUCUUGAUAUUGAUUUGCAGUUAUUCUUGCGCAGUCUAGGUGGGAGGCCCUAAAAGGUAACGGAGGUUUGCAAAGGUUUCCUCAAACUGGACGGAAAUCAGUUGGUGAGUGUAAAGGCAAAAGGAAGCUUGACUGUUAGACCUCUAAGUCGAACAGAGGCGAAAGCCGGCCUUAGUGAUCCGACGGUUUCCGUGUGGAAGGGCCGUCGCGCAAAAGAUAAAAGUUACUCUGGGGAUAACAGGCUUAUCUUCCCCAAGAGUUCACAUCGACGGGAAGGUUUGGCACCUCAACAUCGCGAUGUCGACUUUUCGCAACCUGGGGCGGUAGGUUGUCCCAAGGGUUGGGCUGUUCGCCCAUUAAAGCGGUACAUGAGUUGGGUGGAGAAAUAGAGACAGUUUGGUCUAUAUCUGAUGUAAACGUAAGAAUAUUGAGAGAACUUUUCCAUAAUACGAGAGGACUUGGAAGAACGGACCCCUGGUGAACCAGUUCUUCGACCACGAGGACGCGCUGGGUAGCUAUGUACGGAAUAGAGAACUGCUGAAAGCAUCUAAGUAGGAAACUAAUCUCAAGAUGAAUAUUCUCCAUUAGACUCCGGUAAGAUCAACCGGUUAAUAGGUUUCAGGUAGAAGAUUUGUAAAAAUUGAAGCCGAGAAAUACUAAUGAUCAAUUGUUUUUGAU